rnacentral:rRNA from 1 species
GUGGGGAAUUUUGGACAAUGGGCGCAAGCCUGAUCCAGCAAUGCCGCGUUCAGGAAGAAGGCCUUCGGGUUGUAAACUGCUUUUGUACGGAACGAAACGGUCCUGGUUAAUACCUGGGGCUAAUGACGGUACCGUAAGAAUAAGCACCGGCUAACUACGUGCCAGCAGCCGCGGUAAUACGUAGGGUGCGAGCGUUAAUCGGAAUUACUGGGCGUAAAGCGUGCGCAGGCGGUGCUGUAAGACAGGCGUGAAAUCCCCGGGCUCAACCUGGGAAUUGCGCUUGUGACUGCAGUGCUGGAGUACGGCAGAGGGGGAUGGAAUUCCGCGUGUAGCAGUGAAAUGCGUAGAUAUGCGGAGGAACACCGAUGGCGAAGGCAGUCCCCUGGGCCUGUACUGACGCUCAUGCACGAAAGCGUGGGGAGCAAACAGGAUUAGAUACCCUUGUAGUCC